rnacentral:lncRNA from 1 species
CGAGAGCUGCCAGACAGGCGCGUACACCGAAACGAACAGAGAUUCUGAAGCCAAAAUCCUCAACGACCUCCAAACGGCUCCCCAGUAGCAAAGGCGGCGGACGCACCCUCUACACAGGCAAAGGAGCGGACAAACUGAACGCAAAGCACCAACCACACUGUACAAGAACUAGGCCAAACCAGCGCUCCCCAACCGUGCACAGACUGACCCGCCGCACCCGCGACGGAUCACUCAACAGACGCUGACGGACGCCCACUAAAGGAAGGGACCACAGGCGAGCGAAAAGCCCAAAGUAUGUGCCCGCUCAGGGGUGACCACCUGGUCAACUAGGGCUUGAACUGAAACACCGGCUCUGCAACGACGACCGCUCCACGCACCCAGGUCACCGAGAGCACCAACAGCAGAGAAUACGGACGAAGAAAAGACAGAAACCUAACACGACAAACAACAAAGUCAAGGUACCUCCGCGCCAACGGGCACAACGACCAACAGGUCAAAGAAGCCACACAUCACCUGCAUUAAAAACCACAAAGAAAGGCCGACAGAGCAACGGAAUGCUGGAAAUGCACUCAACCGCCAGCAGGGACUGUCUCCAACACAGGGCUCCUGGAUAACCGAGCAAGUCAGACACGGAGCUCAUGGAUCUCAUGGCACUGACUAGGGGGGCGGCUUUUCAAAGCCGAAAAGGGGCUCGCCCCGGUGCAGCCACUUGACCCCCGCUUGAUUCGCAGGGCAGUCCGUACGGCAUAGGAGUGCAAGCACAAGAACGCCGUGACGCUUGGAGUACACACGUGUUAAUGAGAUUCUCAACUAACUACAAAUCAGGAGUGUCAUUGCGCCAACGUGAUCUGCCGCUGCUGCGCAAAAUCCAUGAGGCGGGAUAGAGGGUAGGACACAAGGUCGGGGAGGGCAAUUCUUUGGACUGCCCCGGUCGCACAAUUCCUGUGCUU